rnacentral:tRNA from 1 species
GGGUUAUUAGCUCAAUGGUAGAGCAAUGGAUUUUUAAUCCAUGUGUUAUAGGUUCAAUUCCUAUAUAACUCA